rnacentral:rRNA from 1 species
CUUGCUCCCGGAUGUUAGCGGCGGACGGGUGAGUAACACGUGGGUAACCUGCCUGUAAGACUGGGAUAACUCCGGGAAACCGGAGCUAAUACCGGAUAGUUCCUUGAACCGCAUGGUUCAAGGAUGAAAGACGGUUUCGGCUGUCACUUACAGAUGGACCCGCGGCGCAUUAGCUAGUUGGUGGGGUAAUGGCUCACCAAGGCGACGAUGCGUAGCCGACCUGAGAGGGUGAUCGGCCACACUGGGACUGAGACACGGCCCAGACUCCUACGGGAGGCAGCAGUAGGGAAUCUUCCGCAAUGGACGAAAGUCUGACGGAGCAACGCCGCGUGAGUGAUGAAGGUUUUCGGAUCGUAAAGCUCUGUUGUUAGGGAAGAACAAGUGCGAGAGUAACUGCUCGCACCUUGACGGUACCUAACCAGAAAGCCACGGCUAACUACGUGCCAGCAGCCGCGGUAAUACGUAGGUGGCAAGCGUUGUCCGGAAUUAUUGGGCGUAAAGGGCUCGCAGGCGGUUUCUUAAGUCUGAUGUGAAAGCCCCCGGCUCAACCGGGGAGGGUCAUUGG